rnacentral:lncRNA from 1 species
CUACAGGUUCCAGUUCGGGUGUCCCCGGUGAGCGUGAGGAUCGCGGUAAGGGCCCGGCGCUUUAGUAGCAUUAGCUACCUUCCUUUUUGCACUAGCCGUCACCCUUUUAUAUUUGAGAGUAGAUGAUGUAUAGGGUGAGGUUCGAGUGAUUGUAUUUAUAUUUUGGAAGAAUGUAAAAGAUGUAAUUGAAUGUAUUAAGUCAAAUGAAUGUAAUAGAUAGCUCUUCUCUCUUUAUGUACUUGUAUAUGUUUCUAUACUUGUAUCUUGCUCUUGUUUGUCGCACUGGUGGUGCUUCUUGAUCGUGUAUUUAUGAAUUGAAUUCCUGGGUAAAUUCUCAUACAUGAUCUGUUGGUUGCCUUGGGCGGACAGGGGAGGUCCUGUCCGUUCGACGUCUGUUCGACGCGCCCGGGCCGGACCAAAUUGGUAGCGGUCUCGGGGCGUGACACUAUGACCGUAUAGUACUUGGAGAGCUAGUUGGUCCCCAAGAUAACAUCGAAUCCCCAAAUCUGAUCUAGCACUAGUAGAUCUAUCGGCAUAAUCCAAUCGCCUAUUUGCAUUGGACACGCCAAACAUUCAUUGUGGACACUGAACGAAUGUUCUGGAGCAUUCACCCAUCAGUAGUCCUCGUUGUAUACCAUCUCUAUG